rnacentral:rRNA from 1 species
CGAGAGCCUGACGGAGCAACGCCGCGUGAGGGAGGAAGGCCUGUGGGUUGUAAACCUCUUUUCUCAGGGAAGAAGUUCUGACGGUACCUGAGGAAUCAGCAUCGGCUAACUCCGUGCCAGCAGCCGCGGUAAGACGGAGGAUGCAAGCGUUAUCCGGAAUUAUUGGGCGUAAAGCGUCCGUAGGCGGUUACAAAAGUCUGUUGUUAAAGCCCACAGCUCAACUGUGGAUCGGCAAUGGAAACUGUGUGACUAGAGAGUGGUAGGGGUAGAGGGAAUUCCUAGUGUAGCGGUGAAAUGCGUAGAUAUUAGGAAGAACACCAGUGGCGAAGGCGCUCUACUGGGCCAUUACUGACGCUGAUGGACGAAAGCUAGGGGAGCG